UCCCGUGCCCAGCAGCCGCGGUAAUACGGGGGGGUGCAAGCGUUUAUUCGGAAUUACUGGGCGUAAAGGGUCUGUAGGUGGUUUGUUAAGUCAGAUGUGAAAGCCCCAGGGCUCAACCCUUGGAACUGCAUUUGAUACUGGCAAACUAGAGUACGGUAGAGGAAUGGGGAAUUUCUGGUGUAGCGGUGAAAUGCGUAGAGAUCAGAAGGAACACCAAUGGCGAAGGCAACAUUCUGGACCGAUACUGACACUGAGGGACGAAAGCGUGGGGAUCAAACAGGAUUAGAUACCCUGGUAGUCCACGCUGUAAACGAUGAGUACUAGCUGUUGGAGUCGGUGUAAAGGCUCUAGUGGCGCAGCUAACGCGAUAAGUACUCCGCCUGGGGACUACGGCCGCAAGGCUAAAACUCAAAGGAAUUGACGGGGACCCGCACAAGCGGUGGAGCAUGUGGUUUAAUUCGAUGCAACGCGAAGAACCUUACCUGGUCUUGACAUCCUGCGAGCUUUCUAGAGAUAGAUUAGUGCCUUCGGGAACGCAGUGACAGGUGCUGCACGGCUGUCGUCAGCUCGUGUUGUGAAAUGUUGGGUUAAGUCCCGCAACGAGCGCAACCCCUAUUGAUAGUUACCAUCAUUAAGUUGGGUACUCUAUUGAGACUGCCGCUGACAAGGCGGAGGAAGGUGGGGACGACGUCAAGUCAUCAUGGCCCUUACGACCAGGGCUACACACGUGCUACAAUGGGUAUUACAGAGGGCUGCGAAGGAGCGAUCUGGAGCGAAACUCAAAAAGGUACUCUUAGUCCGGAUUGCAGUCUGCAACUCGACUGCAUGAAGUCGGAAUCGCUAGUAAUCGCAGGUCAGAAUACUGCGGUGAAUACGUUCCCGGGUCUUGUACACACCGCCCGUCACACCAUGGGAGUGGGUUGCUCCAGAAGUAGAUAGCUAUUUUGUUGUCCACCCCACGGACCAUCAGUGUAGGUCCUCAAUG
rnacentral:rRNA from 1 species